rnacentral:rRNA from 1 species
GACGAACGCUGGCGGCGUGCCUAAUACAUGCAAGUAGAACGCUGAAGAGAGGAGCUUGCUCUUCUUGGAUGAGUUGCGAACGGGUGAGUAACGCGUAGGUAACCUGCCUUGUAGCGGGGGAUAACUAUUGGAAACGAUAGCUAAUACCGCAUAACAAUGGAUGACACAUGUCAUUUAUUCGAAAGGGGCAAUUGCUCCACUACAAGAUGGACCUGCGUUGUAUUAGCUAGUAGGUGAGGUAACGGCUCACCUAGGCGACGAUACAUAGCCGACCUGAGAGGGUGAUCGGCCACACUGGGACUGAGACACGGCCCAGACUCCUACGGGAGGCAGCAGUAGGGAAUCUUCGGCAAUGGGGGCAACCCUGACCGAGCAACGCCGCGUGAGUGAAGAAGGUUUUCGGAUCGUAAAGCUCUGUUGUAAGUCAAGAACGAGUGUGAGAGUGGAAAGUUCACACUGUGACGGUAGCUUACCAGAAAGGGACGGCUAACUACGUGCCAGCAGCCGCGGUAAUACGUAGGUCCCGAGCGUUGUCCGGAUUUAUUGGGCGUAAAGCGAGCGCAGGCGGUUUGAUAAGUCUGAAGUUAAAGGCUGUGGCUCAACCAUAGUUCGCUUUGGAAACUGUCAAACUUGAGUGCAGAAGGGGAGAGUGGAAUUCCAUGUGUAGCGGUGAAAUGCGUAGAUAUAUGGAGGAACACCGGUGGCGAAAGCGGCUCUCUGGUCUGUAACUGACGCUGAGGCUCGAAAGCGUGGGGAGCGAACAGGAUUAGAUACCCUGGUAGUCCACGCCGUAAACGAUGAGUGCUAGGUGUUGGAUCCUUUCCGGGAUUCAGUGCCGCAGCUAACGCAUUAAGCACUCCGCCUGGGGGGUACGACCGCAAGGUUGAAACUCAAAGGAAUUGACGGGGGCCCGCACAAGCGGUGGAGCAUGUGGUUUAAUUCGAAGCAACGCGAAGAACCUUACCAGGUCUUGACAUCCCGAUGCUAUUUCUAGAGAUAGAAAGUUACUUCGGUACAUCGGUGACAGGUGGUGCAUGGUUGUCGUCAGCUCGUGUCGUGAGAUGUUGGGUUAAGUCCCGCAACGAGCGCAACCCCUAUUGUUAGUUGCCAUCAUUCAGUUGGGCACUCUAGCGAGACUGCCGGUAAUAAACCGGAGGAAGGUGGGGAUGACGUCAAAUCAUCAUGCCCCUUAUGACCUGGGCUACACACGUGCUACAAUGGUUGGUACAACGAGUUGCGAGUCGGUGACGGCAAGCUAAUCUCUUAAAGCCAAUCUCAGUUCGGAUUGUAGGCUGCAACUCGCCUACAUGAAGUCGGAAUCGCUAGUAAUCGCGGAUCAGCACGCCGCGGUGAAUACGUUCCCGGGCCU